rnacentral:rRNA from 1 species
GAAAUGCGAUAAGUAAUGUGAGUUGCAGAAUUCAGUGAAUCAUCGAAUCUUUGAACGCACCUUGCGCCCUCUGGUAUUCCGGAGGGCAUGCCUGUUUGAGUGUCAUUAAAUUCUCAACUCUAAAAGCUUUUAUUAGCUUAUUAGAGCUUGGAUGUUGGGAGCUUGCUGGUGUCUUUAGAUAUUCGGCUCUCCUCAAAUUCAUUAGUGGAAGUCUCUUUGUUGGAGUUCAUCCUUGGUGUGAUAAUUAUCUACGCUUUGGAUAGUCCAAUGUUUCCAUUGAGAUUGUAUUAGUAUUGUGACUAGUUGCUUUACUUUUUGGAUCUCAGAGGAAAGGAAGUUUUGCUCUCUAACUGUCUAUGCUACUAUAGACAACUUAUUGACUAUUUGACCUCAAAUCAGGUAGGACUACCCGCUGAACUUAAGCAUAUCAAUAAGCGG